ACCCGGCUUCUCAUAGCCCGCUUCUGCUUCCGCCUGCAGCACACCGACCACUGAAGUGAGGUGGUUUAUCGUUGGGAAGAGGCCACCUUACUGCCAACCACAGUAGGCUUCUCAUCUGCAAAGUGGAGUAUACUAGGGUCCCAUGAUGAGCGAGACUCUAAGUAGCAGACCAAACUCACAAAGAUGGUGGUGACACUUUGAGGAUGCUCUGAAAACCAUCACAGAUUCAGAGACCUAAAGAAGGUUAUUGAAUCAAGUGUUGCCCCAGGCCCAGUUUGGAACUCCAAGUGCUGCUCCAGACCAGGUCUUGAUGUGCCUUCAAUACUCUACAAACUCCCUAAGUUUGCUGAUUUGAUUAUUCUCACACAAAGGAAGACAUUGAGGCUUGGAGGAAACCUGCAUGUGCUACAGCUAAUGAAGGCAUAGUUACAAGGGCUGUUUCUGAAACAAGUGACAAGAAUAAGCGUGUCUUGAAAAUGGAUGGCACUAGAAGAAACCAUCCUGAGCAAGAUAACCCAGUCACAAAAAGACAAACAUGAGUCUUCAUCCAGUGGCUGAUGGAAGCAGAGCCAGACACCCACAGCUAAACAAUGCA